CUUAAGUGAGGGAGCAGCUUGGCCUGUUGGAGCUCCAAAACCAAGACUUGGUGCUUCUGUAAAAUGCUUGGUGUCCCUCAGGAUAUGACACAAAGACUGAUUGCUAUCCUUAUGGUUGACAAGGUUUGCUUGUGCCUGAAAAUGACACCUAGCCCUCCCCCAGCUGGGCGUCGGGAGCUCCGCCCCCUCCAGGAGCCAGUCUAUAUGAACGAGGCACACAAAGAGGGAGGUCGUCUUUUGACCACUGUGAGACAAGGAGACUGAGACCUCAGAGCUUUGUAUUGGAGAGGCCUGAACGUGAGAAGUGGCAAACACUGUUUUUGUUUUCUUUAAAGGCCCAAAGUAAUAAUGUUUACUUUGCACAAUUCCUAAAGACGGAUUGGCCAUGCAAGCACCCCAACAAUUCUAAUGCAUAAGAUUCUUCUGUUCACUAUAUUGGAAGUUGCUCGUGGACAAAUUGUUGGUACCCCUCCACCAAAAGAGAAGAACCAACACUUGUUUCUGAACUAACAUUAAAUUAACAAAAGUAAUUGGCAUCCAUCAUAGUUUAUUCCAUAUUUAACAAAGAGUAUUUCACGUAACAGCACAAAUGAAGAUGUCAUGAAGAAAAAUGAUGAGACCCCUCACCUAACACAACCUUUAGAGGCAAUCACUGCAAGCAAGUCACUCCUGGAGCUCUCCAUGAGACUUCUGCACCUGUUGUCAGAAGCAGCUAAAGGGCUCGAAAGAGGGUAAUACCAUGCCGGACCAGGGGAUGGCAGAGUGCACUAACCAUUUCUAUCUUUCUUCUGCAGACCAAAUACGAGAAAUUCCACCUGGGCCCGAUGACAUCACUUCCAUUUCUGGUCCCAAUGACAUCAUUUCCAGUCCUGAAGACAUCUGGCCAUUUUGUGUUUACAAUCAGUUCUGUUUUGGACUCAAGUCUGUACAGACCAACCGUUAUUUCUUUUCAAGCAACACAUUUUCAAGUAUACAGGGUAGCUACCCUAAACCUUUUUGUGGUGUCUCUGGCUUUAUUUCACACUGUGCACAGAUAGUUUGGCCCACUCGUCCUGAGAAAACUGCUCCAGCUGUGUCAAGUUUGAAGAUGGUCUUCUGCAGACUGCAUGUUUCAGUUCUUUCCAUAGAUGGUUUACAGGAUUCUAAUCAGGGCUCAUAGAAGGCCACUUCAGAGUAGUCCAAUGUUUCGUUCUUAGCCAUACUUGGGUGCUUUUAGCUGUGUGCUUUGGCUCAUUAUCCUGUUGGACGAUCUGUGACCUGGGACUGAGACAGAGCUUUAUGACACUGGACAGUACGUUUCUCUCCAGAAUGUUUUGAUAGUCUUGAGAUUUUAUUCUUCCCUGCACAGACUCAAGGCCCCCUGUGCCAAACUCAGCAAAGCAGCCCCCACAUAACCAAGCCUCCUCCAUGUUUCACAGUAGGUCUGGUGUUCCUUUCUUUGAAAGCUUCAUUUUUUCAUCUGUGGACAUAAAGCUGAUGUGACCUGUCAAAAAGCUUCAGUUUUCUUAUAUCUGUGCAAAGGACAUUCUCCCAGAAAUAUUGUGGCUUCUUUAUCAAAUUCUUUUGGUUUUCUUUCAACAGUGGAGUCCUCCUGGAUCUUUUUCCAUUAAGCCCACUAUUACUGAUAAAGCGACAGAUGGUGCACUCAGACACCGAUGAUCUUUGACCUUGGAGUUCAGUUGUAACUCUUUAAUGGUUGGCUGACUGCAGAAGGCUCUGGCUGGGUGGCCGAAGUGACCCCUGAUGGAAGGAUCCAUGAAGUACAGUUGUGUGAAAAAGUAAGUGCACCCCACAGCAUUUUUUUUCUUGCAUAUGUGG